rnacentral:rRNA from 1 species
GGAAUUUUCGUCAAUGGGGGAAACCCUGAACGAGCAACGCCGCGUGGAGGAUGACGGUCUUCGGAUUGUAAACUCCUUUUGUGAGGGACGAUAAUGACGGUACCUCGCGAAUAAGCCCCGGCUAACUCUGUGCCAGCAGCCGCGGUAAUACAGAGGGGGCAAGCGUUGUCCGGAGUUACUGGGCGUAAAGCGCACGUAGGCGGUCCUGCAAGUGGUGUGUGAAACCAAUCAGCUUAACUGAUUGACGCCAUGCCAAACUGCGAGACUCGAGUCAUGGAGAGGUAGUUCGAAUUGCUGGUGUAGUGGUGAAAUGCGUAGAUAUCAGCAGGAAGACCAAGGGAGAAAUCAGACUACUGGCCAUGAACUGACGCUCAGGUGCGAAAGCGUGGGGAGCGAACUGGAUUAGAUACCCAGGUAGUCCACGCCGUAAACGAUGUAUGCUCGGUAUUUGGGCCUGUUAAGGGCUUGGGUACCUAAGGUAACCCGGUAAGCAUACCGCCUGGGAAGUACGAACGCAAGUUUAAAACUCAAAUGAAUUGACGG